CUCAAUUACAAGUACAGAGUCAUUAGUCAAAGUAUGAUGAUUUUUCAGAGUAUCGCAUUCAAAGGCUCUCUCAAAGAUGAUAAAUAUUUCAUGACUAUACGGAAUUGAUCUUUAAUUGAUGAAUUCCGGAUUCAAUUUCAACUUAUCGACUAUACACACACUCAACCAAUGGCUCCAAUUUACAACUAUGUUUUACUUAAAUGCAAGUUCGAGUCGAGACCCGUUGAUUAUCGAAGAAGGCCGAUGACGCAAUCGAGAGCGAAACGAGUUUAAGAGAUGAUGGGGAUGCUUGUCAAAGCCACUAUUGAUGACACCAUGUUCGGGACGCAAAAUGGAGCAAGUUUCAUGUUGGGGUCGAAGGCCGAAGAGAUUUGGAUCAACGUAAUAAAGGUGAACGAAAAAGAUGCUGCUGAACAAAGCCAUG
rnacentral:lncRNA from 1 species